GUUUAGUGAUGAGUAUCCAUGCUAAUACUAAGGCAUCAAGGGAUUUAUUUCCUUCUGGAUGUUGCUGCUGAAAAACAAAAAAUCUAAACUGAAAACA